ACACCUGGAUGUGCUCACUCAACCAAGAAUAUAGAGAAAGAGCUUCUGCCCUGAGACUCAGAAAAAUAUUCUCCUGUGCUUCGGUUCAGUAUAGAUUUCUAAACCCUGAUCAUUGCUUAAGAGAUAUUCACUGAGGGUCCUACGUCUCUGCAAUUUGUGUAUGAAUAACAGAAUAAUUUCCCUCUUUUGUUUCGCCUUUCCUGUUCCUGAAUCUAAAUAAAGAUGGCUUUUUAGUAUUAAAAGUGGAAGAAAAUUACAGUUGCUGAGACAAAGGAAAACCCACUCCCUUGGAGGAGCAUGACCUUUUCCUGUAAUUCUUCCCACUGCUGUUGUUGAGCUCCUUGGACCAUGGCUCCUGGACACCAUCAUCAAGAAGACUUUAUGGAUGGGCUGUCCACCCACUGAGAGAAGAGGAGCAUCAGCUACAGUUUCUCUCUAGAUUGCCUUCUUCAUUUUGAGUAAUGACUGUCAGCAGGGUCAGAUUAAAGACAAAACAACUGGACAAUUGCUUGGAGGACUAAACUAUAAGGGCACUAACAUAUCAAUAGUAUGCUAACACAUCCAUGGAAAAUAUAUUUACCAGCUCUUCUCUCAGGGAGGAUUCUGUGUGGGGUUGGAAGUAAUGAUUUGUUAAAUUCCUUAGGGGUAGAAAGUAGGGCAUAAUCAGAAUAUAGAGGAAUAGGCUGUUUGACUUCAGGGUUUCUGUUUUUCUUACUAGGAUAUAUAAAACAGGGACUCUAGCUAGAUUGUUUAUGACCACAGAGGGUAGGCUGAGCGCUCUCAUGAUCUUCCUGCUUGGUUCUUGCCCAUACAGAGGUCAGCCUUUCCUCUAAUAAAGAUUGAACAAGUAGUGGUCUGAGGGAGACACCAACUCAUUACCCUACAUGUCUCUUCUCUGCACUCCAGGGCUUUGAUAAUAAAGACACUGGCAGACUAUCUAUCUUCCAUUUCUAUAAUGUGAGCCCUUAGGGAGUCUUCGUUCACUUGGGGGUGAGGGUCAUUGCUCACAGAGUAGUUCAAGUCAAAUGGAACUUGAACUCUUUGCCUAUGGGCCUGGUGGUCAGACUCUGUGUUGAGUUCAUUAGAUUAUUGGAGACACAAGGUAGAGCUGGAUGCUUCAAAAAUAUUUGGCUAAAGGAUGACAUUGCUGGUUAUUUGUAGAUAAAGCCAUGAUGGAACCUGCUUGGAAUCAUGAAAUAUGGAACUGGUGGUCAUGUUUAAAAAUACAACUAAUAGUUAAGUACCUACUGGACACUGUAGAGACUUAGGGGCUAGACAGACAUGGUUCCUGCCCCCAUGGAGCUUACACUGUAGCUUCCCCUUAGGUAUGAAGAACAGUGGCUACAACUAACAAAUGGCCACAAAGAUAUAAUUGAGCCAGUGUUCCAAUUAUUAGGGUAAUUCCUAUUUCCUUAAUCAUGCCUAUUGACCAUGUUCUAUAAGCCUGCAUUCUAUAAAUGGCCUAUGACCAUGGGCUGUUUCCCCCCAGCAAGUUGUACAAAGUUCUGUGGUACCAGGGAAAGGGCUUAAGGUUAGCAGGGCCUCUGGGGAAGGACAUAUGAAGUGACUUGGGUUAGGAAACAGGAAGGGAUAGGAUUCAAGAACAGCUAUUGCUUCUGUUCUAUAUAGGAAACUGCAGCGUGAAAAAUGCUGGGCUGGGAAUUUUGAGACCUGGGUUUUAGUUUGUGUUCUAAUACUAACAAGCUAUGUGACUGUGGUUAAGUCAUUUCACAUUCCAUUUGGAUGCCUCUUGAGUGACUCCAGGCCUCUCCAGCUCUAAAACAUUGAGAUCAGGCCCUACGCUACAGCUGGCCAGUGUGUAGUUCUUCUGUUUCUAUGCUGUUAGGUCAAAUAGAUCUUCAAUAGUUACUUGAUUGUUAUUACUUUUUUCUGAAGUGGGUGUUUUAUCAGUGUUUUAGGAUACAGUGAGUCUGCUUCUCCCCUUUGGAGUUAGGAAGGUUGUAGGAAUAUACACUGUAGAGCAUAUGGGAGCUUUAUCUCCUCCUUUUUCCCCCCCUACCUUUCUCCCUCUCCUUCCCUUCGUCACAUUUCUAUUGAGCAUAUGCCAUUGCCGUGUACCAGGUGUGUGCUAGGUUUGGAGAUACAAGGUAAACUUGAGACUUUCCCAGCCUCCAGGAGACAAAACCCUAAUUUCUUUCAUCUGCUGUCUUUCUCUUUGGAAAGAAUCAACGAUAUCCCAGGGGAAUGUGCCCAUGUCCCAGGGUAACCAACUACAGACAGAUGCCCCAUUCUACUCAAGCAACUUUUAGAGUGCCUUGAGAUACACAUCAGAUAAUUAUGCAGGGCCAGGCAUGGUGGUGCACACUUGUAAUCACAGCACUUUGGGAGGCCGAGGCAGCAGAUUGCUUGAGCCCAGGAAUUCAAGUGUAGCCUAGGGAACAUGGCAAAACCCCAGCUCUACAAAAAAAUACACAAAUUAGCUGCGUGUGGUGGCCUAUGACAGGAGGCUGAGAUGGGAGGAUUGCUUGAGCCUGUGAGGUCGAGGCUGCAGUGAGCCGAGAUCAUGCCAUUGCACUCCAGCCUGGGUGACAUAGGGAGACCCUGUCUUGAAAAAAAAAAAAAAAAAAAGAUAAUUAUUCAGCCCUAGAGUCAUUGUGAAAAGAUCUAUCUUCAGAUAUAAGGAAGAAACAAUCUUUUAUUUCUUAGGAUAAAUCUGUAGAAGGACCUCCAGACAGUGAAGGCCACUGACUACUUUACACUCUGUAAGCCAUCCCUCCCUGGUAGGAAGGACUAUUUCCAAUCUUACAGAGUACCUCUCAGCAAAUAGACGUUUUCACAUAUACUGUGAUUCAUACAUCCCUAUGGCUGGUGACCUCUUUAAAAAGGAAAGGAAAAAGCCUAAUCAAACAAAAAGAUUCUUUUUUUUACAAUAUUACAAUUGUAAUUACAAUAGUAAUUCUUACCCUAUUGUGAAUCCUAUAUAAGCAAAUUUGUAUCUUUGUUUUUUCCCACAUUAGCAGAUCUAUUUGAUGUAUAUCUCUGAGUGCAGAAAAUAUUUUAUGGAAAAAUCAAUAUAUGGAAUUUCAAAUUCAGAAUUGCUGAUACACACUAUUUGGUUUCAGAAUUUUAUCCUAGGAAAUAGUAUUAGAGAUUUCAAUUUCUGGCUUAAAUGGUAGAAUUAAUUACUCUUAACUCUUAAUUUUACUUCUGAGUUGAGGUCAAGGAACAGGCAGACACCUCCAGUUAACGUCUAUACCUCUCCAUGGCCAAGAGUUUUAAUUUUCUCGUCUUCAGUUUUGUAGAUGUACAUCAUUACUAAAUGGAUUGAUUAGUAUUUUAUCUCCUCUCCUUGUCCUUACUUUCCCUCUGGUAAAUAUGUUAUAAACAGUGUAAGGCUCCUAAGAUAGAGUAGCUGGUAGGACUUAGAAGAGAAACAAAGGGCACUGAUAACUCACAUAAAUGGAAAAUUGGCUCUGGAAUAACUGACAACAUAUUCAAGUAUUUUAGUGCAGUGUCAUUCUCAUUAAGAAGAAGAGAACCAGUAAAUCUAUGUGACUCUAAACAUUCUAAUGAAAAAAGGAAUAUUCUGCCAAUUAUCUCACAUUUCUAAAUAUCUGGAUAUUGGCCAUCAUAAAGACAAAACAUACAGAUGAUGGACUUGUCUUUCCACCUCUCAUUUGCAUGGUUUGGAGCAUUGUACCUCCAGCCAUUGACUCUAAGGCAAUUUAUAUUUGCUUCCUCUUCCCUCUUGAGAGAAAACGAAAAUCUUAUUUUUCCAAGCAAUUAAAACUCUUCUGCUUCAGCUAGGAUGAAAGAAUUAGGAGUUCUGUCUCUUUGUAUCUAAUUGCAUGUUUCAUCUUUCUUGUUUUAAUGAUUGACAGAAAACUAAUAAACUGAGACAUCUUUGAAUCCAGGUUGAAUGUA
rnacentral:antisense_RNA from 1 species